AUUGAACGCUGGCGGCAGGCCUAACACAUGCAAGUCGAGCGGAGCGGAGGACGGGUGAGUAAGGCCUAGGAAUCGGCCUGGGAGUGGGGGACAACGACAAGAAACGGACGCUAAUACCGCCUACUAACAGAAGAGCAUAGGUCGGAUUAGCUAGUUGGUGUGUUAAAGGCAUACCAAGGCGUAGAUCGGUAUAUGGUCUGAGAGGAUGAUCAGUAACACUGGAACUGAGACACUGUCCAGCCUCCUCCGGGAUGCAUCAGUGGGGAAUAUUGGACAAUGGGCGAAAGCCUGAUCCAGCCAUGCCGCGUGUGUGAAGAAGGUCUUCGGAUUGUAAAGCACUUUAAGUUGGGAGGCGUUACCAACAGAAUAAGCACCGGCUAACUUCGUGCCAGCAGCCGCGGUAAUUC
rnacentral:rRNA from 1 species